GUCAUUUCCCUAUUCGAUAUUAGAGAAUGAUGGCUUUACAUUCCUCAUAGAAAAGAUCUCCCACAAAGAUUAUCAAAGCAAUCAGUGAGCAAUUUUUUAUUUUGUGCAGAUGAUGGUGGCAAGUUCCCAUUUAGAUUUUUCUAAGCUCAUUACCAACUCUGCACUCCAUUAUCUCCAUCUCUUUUCUGUUUAUAAAUAAUCAAAAGAAUUCCUCAGAAAAAAUGGCAGCUUAAUUAGCCAUAUCUUUUGGACUCCAUGGCCAAAACAAUCCUAUUAAUUUCACUUGUAUUCUUGGUUACGAUGACAGACUUUUCCCAUGCUGUCAAUAGAAAAAUGAUGACAGUUGAAGGGAAGGCCGCCUUUGACAUGGCAGCGGAGGUAAGGAUCUCAGCCUACAAUGAAAAGAUCGAUAUAAAUAACCACCAUAGUAUUCCAAGGGAUUCAUGGGAUAAUGACCAAGAUCCUGAUGCACCGGCAGNNNNN
rnacentral:lncRNA from 1 species